rnacentral:lncRNA from 1 species
GAAGCUCGGCAACAUCUAUGCUGAUUGCGUCGAACUCCGAACUAACGGUUUCCCCAACAUUGAGGAGAAUGCUCUGCAAAACCGCCAAUGACUCACCAGUACGCUUGGAGAACUCAAGUAAGGUCAUGCCUUCGAACACAUCGACUGUUUUCUCAGCCAAUCCCUUUGCCAAUCUUUGUAGCCUGGGAGGCACAUAAGGAGCUUCAACGGGUGGCUUAUCAGUUUUCUUCUCCCGUUUUGAGAACUUUCCUUUCGUUUUCACAGUCUGCUUCUUGAGCUCACGAUGGCUCAGCUGACGAUCAGGAUCCUCUUUUCUUCUCGCCAGUGUUUCUCGGCUUACAUGAAAGCACCUGCUGCUCAAAAAACACAGGACAGUGAACAUUUCUAUAGAAUAAUAUAUAAGAGAGAAGGAUUAAAAAGUGUAGGCGAAUGGUUUAUACCUUAUGGAUGUGAAGGUUGGGAAAGAUUCAUGAUUAGGCGAGCUGAACCCGAACCCUAAAACAUGAAUAAAAGUGUUCUUUAUCCAUUUUCCACAACGUUAAAAGGAAAUCUUGUAACCAUCCUUUUCACUGUGCUUACCAUUAAUGUACCGAGCGAAUGAGAAAGCAACACUUCCAGAAGUGCUUUUGGAAAACGUAGAGGAAAUAUGUCUCUCCUCAACAACCUGAACGUUUCCUCCGAUAUCUUCAAGCUCUAUCCCCUCAGCGGCGAGCUGGUUCUUGACUCUUUCCGGAUUAGCUCCCGGCUUAUCGCAUUUAUUAAUCGCAACCACAAUCGGAACAUUGGCCGACCUAGCGUGCGCGAUGGCCUCGAGCGUCUGUGGCAUUACACCAUCAUCAGCAGCAACCACCAAGACAACUAUAUCAGUAACAGCAGCUCCCCGAGCACGCAUCUCACUGAAAGCGGCGUGACCAGGCGUGUCUAGGAAGGUGAUUGAAGUGCCGGAGUCCGGCAUGCCCACCACGAACGCACCCACGUGCUGAGUGAUCCCACCUGCUUCUCUUGCCGCCACGGAGGUGUUUCUUAAAGCGUCUAACAGAGAGGUCUUUCCAUGAUCGACAUGGCCCAUUACCGUUACAACCGGAGGCCUUGGGAGGAUCUGUGAUCCUUCUGUAGUGUGCUGUCUCCUUACAUUGAUCCCUAUUUCCUGCAAAAGAAGAAGAUCUUAACAUGCAAGAUCCAUGACCUUGUAGCUAGAGGUUCGAAUCAUUUUAUUACCAUUGCAAGAAGCUCGGCAACAUCUAUGCUGAUUGCGUCGAACUCCGAACUAACGGUUUCCCCAACAUUGAGGAGAAUGCUCUGCAAAACCGCCAAUGACUCACCAGUACGCUUGGAGAACUCAAGUAAGGUCAUGCCUUCGAACACAUCGACUGUUUUCUCAGCCAAUCCCUUUGCCAAUCUUUGUAGCCUGGGAGGCACAUAAGGAGCUUCAACGGGUGGCUUAUCAGUUUUCUUCUCCCGUUUUG